rnacentral:misc_RNA from 1 species
UUUGACGAUCUGCAUCCCUUGCGAGUGCUCGUGCAGUUCCGAAAGAACGAAGGAGGUAACGCGCGCUAUUAGUGUGUGUGCGUGUGUGUGCUAGGGAGCUUCUUUUGAGCGGGGAAUAGCGUACAUGAAAUUAGUGCGUGCGUGCGUGUGUGUGCGCAUCCGACCUCCCUUCCCUCCCGCGUUCUAGUUCACAAUUUUCCCAUCACCUCGCAUAUUCGUGAGCCUCUACUGCAAACAUCUACGAAAGGGACCAAACGAGGAAGUUAUCGAACAAAGAAAAACACUAAAGGAAUCCCAUUCCUGUGGCUUUUCCUUUCGGCACCGGCAUCUCCGACUUCCUCUCCAUACACAGGCGUGGCGCUCACAUUCUCUCUGUUCGCUUACCACCGAGCCCCAUCAUCGUCAAAGACGCUUCCACAUUGCUGUUGCUGUUUUCUCGUUUUGUUUUUCGACCACCGUUUCAACAUCAAAAAAGAAGAGCCCCAAGUGACUCUCAAACGGCGAGAAGGGAGAGGGGAGCGCUAGGGCGUCUUUUGGCCUUCCCCUUCAACUAACCUACACUAACCAAUCACACACAUAUACUCUCACUCUCUCGAGCUGUACAUCCAUUUCGUUCUCUAUUUCCUUUUAUCUAUCUGAAUCCUCGUAAGAGGAGUUGUGGUGCUUGGAUCCGUGCCACGCAACUGUUUUCGCCUUUGACUGAAAAGGUGAGCGAAAGGGGAGACAAGGGGCGCCGCGCGCUCUCGGCACUUCGCGCGUCCUCCCUCCAAGAAGAGUUGGAGGAGCCCAUCUUUUUUUUUUUUUCGCUACCUCCUUCUCUUUGUUCUUUGUCUUGUCUUACUUUUCUCUCCGACUUCAGCACCUCGUGACUCUCUCACCGAGGUGGACUCUCUCCCUUUUCCUUUGCCUCGUAGUAGAGGAGAGGCAGUUAAGCCGGGACACGGGGUGGUGCGAGAAAAAAGAAGAGGUGUAAAGAAAACAGCAAUAGGGGAUAACUGAAACGCAAAGGCAGGAAGAAGAAGAUCAUCUCAAGUCUCUUUUCCUACCUCGCUCUUCUCUUUCGGUUCUUUCUCUCGUACUAAAAGGGCUGUGCGGGGGCAGGGUGAGCUCUGCGGCGUUUCCGUCGGCUUGUGCUCUGAAGUGGUCGUUCGCCACCUCGACGUAGCGGAGCAGUGCCACAGCGACACAUACAAAAGUCGUGGACAACGUAUUCAGCAAAAAACACGAAGAAACAGCGAGAUAGAGAAAGAGCGCAAAUUGUGGUACGUAUUGGUCCUUGUUUCUUUGUUUUGGUGCUUGCAACUCCUUUUCUUUUUUAGUUUAUUUCUUGCUCCUCUGGGACUGUUGUGUGUGUGUGUGUGUGUGCGUGAUUCCGUGCCAUUUUUUUUCUGCCUUUUCUACCUCUGCCUCUUGGACGUGCCGGUGUGCGUCUUCUGUGCAUUUUUUCCUUUUUUCUUGUCUUGAAGCAGUCUUCCAAAAGCGUCGAUACGGAACCGCAGGAGGGGCAAAACACAGACAGGCGCGGCGGGCACACAAAAACUCAAGGCGGGAGAGGAGGAAGGGUGAGCCGAAGUAGAACAAAAAGAGUGCAGUAGAGAUCAUUAAGCGCUGGCUCUGUGCGUGUGCACAUCGACUUCUCGCACUUGCAUGCGGGGGUAAGUUAUAAGCACACACACAGACAUCUGUGAGGGGAACAAAAACGUAUAGAGUCACAGUUGCUUUUUAGUCUGCCGUCCUUUCACACCUCGCCUUUCACUUCGGCCUGGUGUGCAUGCGUGUGGGUGUGCUCAUCUCCGCCUUCCCGAGUUUCUCAUCCGGAGCGCCUUCGCCUUCUACCUUGAUUGCGCCGGUUCCGCACACGUUUUAUCUCGAUUCGCUGUCUUCUAUAUUUUGACUACCUUCUUUUUCUGCGAGGCCUUCUCUCUCUUGCGUUGCUCGCCUUUGAUUUCCCCACUCCCUCUCGCGUUUAUUUGUCUGGCUUUUCAUUUUUUUUUUGUGUGUGUGUUUGCGUGUGUUGAUCAAGGAGCAGGAGAGCAGCGGGAGGAAGAAACAUACGCAAGUACCCCUUUCCAUCCCAGGUGUAUCACCUACGGCAGCUAAUACGACGGCGUAGCUUGCAUAUCUCUGCCCUCUCCCCUUUUCUCUCUUUCCUCAUCCUUUCCUUUGCUUGCCUUUCUUCCCGCUUUUUUCUUUGUUUUACUCUUUUUUUAGCCGUCUUGUUUUCUCCCGCCCCUCCCGCAUUCCUUCUCUUCACCCCUCUCUCUGUUCGACCUGUUUGCUUCUCCUCCUCUCGAUUUCUCUCUGUCGGCUUUCUCUCCUUUCACGUGUUGUGUGUUCAUUCUCAUUCGCUGCUGCCGCCGCUCUCUUUUCUGUUGUCGUGUCGUAUGUUUGUCUUCUUUAGCUGCACGCGUGCGUGUGUGUGUGUGCUUACUUCCUCUUCUGCGGCGGAGCGGGAACUCCUGUGGGCUGGGUCGCGAAGCGCAUUUUGCCCCCUUUCUCUUCCCUCCCCUCUUCUUUCACUCCUCUCCUUUCGUUUCGCUUUCCCUAGGACGGCUCUGCUCUGUCCUCUUUAGUAUUUUUUUUUCCUCGACGACUCUUUUCCGUGCUCUCUAGUACCGCAGAAAAUACCUCAUCUCCCCCUCGCCCUUUGUAUGUGUGCGCCUUUUCCCCUUUUUUUUUUCGGAUUUUACUUGGCUCUCCCGUCGUUCUCUCGGUUGUCUCAAGCGCGUUCCAUUACCAUCUGCUACACUCCUUCUUUCAGUUCUCCUCGGCUUUACUUUUUCCGACCCUCUCUCCUCUUCCCUUUUGGCGCCCCCUUGUUGUCGCCGUUUUCUCGCUUUUCGAGUCUGCGCCGCUUCCCCGGUCAGCCGUGUCUCUCUCUCUCUCUUUCGUUGACCAAGCGAGAGGGCACUGCGAAGAGGAGAGAGGGAAGAGCAGCAAAGCGCCGGGCGCUGCCUCAGUCACACGCCCACCACCCGGACUCACGUGGGUGCCUACUUGUGCAUCCAUACGUUCCAGUUUGUGUGUGGGCGUGCGUGGGGGGCCUGUGUCGGAGGCGGGCUCGUCUUCCCCCUUUUUCUUUCUCCCGCCUUCGCUGGCUCUCUCUUUGUGGACGGGAGGCUGCGUAGUCUUUUUCGCCGGCUUUCAAAAGCCGGUUUUCAGAGCAUUCGGGCCAGUGAAGAUGCACUCUCGCGAAAAUGUAGGCUACGCGCGGCCGGGCGGGGUUGACAUUGACCUCCCCACAGAGGGCAGCAUCCCCAUCUCUCGUGGCUGUACCGCCUCCCGGCGUAUCGUCAGGUCGCUCAAGAAUCCGCUGGCGUGCGUGAUGCAGCUGGUACCGCUGGACAGUGGCGAGAACAGUCGCCCACCUCAUCUGCUUUCACGCUUCAACACGGCUAGCAUCCCGAGUGAGGCUUCCGUGAGCGAGGUGCGCAGUGAGCUGUGCAGUGUUGCAAUGGAGGAGCAGACAGAGGAUUCGACAUCGUCGUUCUUCGACCAUCGACGCUUACGGCAUGGUGGCAAAGUAAGCAGCUCCAUGAGCCGCAGCCGCGCAUCACGGGUGGGGCACGAGAUCCGUGCGCGUAUGCGCCGCAGCUUUCCCAGCGGUAGCAGUCGCGAGGUGGAGGAGAGUUUCCUCAGCUACAGCGAUGACCCCUCUUUCUACGCGUGCGACUCCGACGCGUCUUCGAAUUCUGCAGAAACGGAGGGCUCAAGUCACAGCAUGUCCUACACAGCCAUCUCGGAAAGUGUACCGAGCUGCAGCCUCACCGGCCUGACUGAGAAUAAAUACGCCGUCACUGGAUGGGCGAGCCGUUUCCGCAAGCCCAACGUCCCACCUCCGCAUAGGGAGUCGAACAGCUUUGGUAGCAUCUUCGGCUCCGGCGGGAUUGACCCAUACAACGGUGCCAGCGUCAACGCACACCACCAGGCACGCGACAGCGCCGCCGCGGAUGUAGCAGUGGGGAUAGCGGCAGAGCCUCGCAUAGCGGCUGCUGUUCCGCAGAGGGACCCGCCCGUGGUCGUUAUCUCCCCUUCCGCAUCUAGUGCGCGGGUAAACACAGCUCGAACCUCGCAUGUCGCUGCAUCCACAGCAGCACAGAGCGCUCCAAGUGCCUCGGUGGCGCGACUCUGUGACGGGGGAUUACAGUUCACCGCCGACAACUCGUCUGCGGUCCAGGGUACGGAUCGCGGCAGCCCUCUGAGUAACUCCAUUGACCAGCGGCCACGCGUACAGAGUGUCAAACUGCUGGAACGUGUCGGACGUGGCACAUUCGGCGAUGUCUAUAGGGCCCAGGACCUGGACAGCGGCAACAUCAUUGCCGUGAAGGAGAUUAUUGUGCCACACGACUUCACCAAGGACGUGGAGAAGCAGUUGGCCGCUCUCGAGUCGGAGAUUCGUGUCAUGCGUCGACUGCACCAUCCUCACGUUGUGACUUAUCUCGGCGCUGUGCGCGAGAAUAACUCCCUUCGCAUUUUCAUGGAGUUUGUAGGGGGUGGCACUGUGGGCAGCAAGCUGGAGAGCGUCGGCGGUCUCUCCGAGGAGAAGACGCGCGACUACACAGCCCAGCUGCUAGAGGGGCUCGAGUACCUGCACGUCUCGCACAUCCUUCAUCGCGACCUGAAGGGUGAUAACCUUUUCCUCACAGAGGACGACCAGCUCAAGCUGGGCGACUUUGGGCAGAGCAAGGAGUUGGCGGACACCCUCAUCACGCGGUCCGUGCAAGGUACUCCAAGCUUCAUGUCACCCGAGAUGAUUGCCUGCUCUGGAUACUCGUUUGAGGCAGAUGUAUGGUCGGUGGGGUGCUGCGUCAUUCAAAUGCUCACUGGCAAGCCGCCAUUCGCGAACCUCGACAACCAGAUGGCGGUGAUGUUCGCCAUCAUCAGCUCCAAGAUCGAGGAUCAGAUUCCGGCAUGCGCUUCCGAAGGCGCGAAGGACUUUAUUCGCAUGUGCACCAAGACCAACAUCAAGGAUCGGUGGAACGCCUCGCAACUGCGUCGGCACCCUUGGCUCCUAGGACAAGGCGCUCCAGCAGCCGCCACAGCAUCCGCAGCAGUGACCAAGGCUGCCGGUGAGCGGAGGGAGGGCGCUGGUCACAAGCCCAUCGCCGCGCACCCGCCGCUGAAGACUAAAGAGCCGGCGCACCCGAAUCCACACCCUGGCAAGCCUCCUCGCUCCAUUCUUUUAGACACCGCCGCCCUUGCGAAGGCGAAAGGCGGCGACGACAUGACGAAAGAUCCGAGCAGCAGCAGCCCCGGUGGGUAUCAGUACUCACUCGAGGACGAGACGGGCGACCACGAGGCGGGCGGUACUACGAGUAGCAACCUUUCUUCCUCCAAAAGCGAGACGCCGAGCUCCAAAAACGCGGCGGCGACCAGGCAUGCGGGCGUCCCUUUUUCGGGGUCGUCCCCACUCAGCGAAGGCGCGUCGAUGGAAAGCCGUCACAGGUCACCUAUGGCGUUACCGGAGGCUUUGCCAAGUGGAGGGAGGCUAGACCGCACGCACGAGAGUGCCCAUAGGGCGACCCCGGGGCAGGGUGAUUCGCUAGUGAUGGUGGGACAAGAGGGUAGUGGUGGCAGCGGUGCACGGGGGCGGAGGAAGUCGCCACCGGAGCCGGCGCAGCGGCCGCAACGGCCUGCGCACCUGCACAAAGAGAGAUCGCCACGCCACCGAGCGUUGAUGACGGGAAGCGCUGCGGCUGUGGAGUCUUCGUCGAAGAGACGAUCGAACCCGAGCCCGGUGUCACGCGCUCUUAACACACCUGUUCAUAACCGGGCCAACCUCAGCACUUCUCCCAGCAAACAGCGUGCCGAUCUUCGACCGGCAGGCUCGUCGAUCUACCGUGUCUCGGGCGUUGCCAACCAGCCGAGCCGCACCACACCGAACAAAACUUCUUCCCCCGGAAAGAAGCGCCAAACGACGGCGGUACGGGCAACUGGGCACGCACUGAAAGACGAUCACAAGGCGUAGCCGGCGCGGUACGCGCCCAUAUGCGCACGUAUAGGCGUCGCUGUGAGAGGCUGCGUACCCUAGUUGUCGCGUGCUGUUCACUCGGCUGCGUGAUGCUAUCCAUGGUCACUACUCUCCGAUGUGCAGUUUUCAUCGCUUUUUUUCUUCCUAUCACCAUUGUUCAUUUUAGGCGUUCACUUCCGUGGCUCCCUACUGUUACGUGUACGUGUGCGUUUUUUUUUUACCUUUCAAGGGCUGAGAUGCGGAUUGCCCUUUGGUGGAACGCCGGUGGUGGCGAUGUACGGCAUUUCGAAAAAGCCGCGCGUAUGCUGAAGGUAGAAGGAACGGAGCGUUCUUCUUGUGCCCUUUCCUGUGGUUGUACUCCAGAGUGAAGCUGUCGAUGCUACAUUGCUGCCCACGCUGCUCCUUCAUGACUCAUGGAAGUGGGCUUAUGUAUGCGUGCGUGUGCGUGUGAAGGAGUGUGCUCUGUGACCCUCUGCUACCGUUGCGUGCUGCGAUGUAUGGUCGUCUCUUUUUCUUUGUGCUUUACAUGUUUUUUUUUUUUUUCAAGCGUGUUCGUGUACGUGCUUCCCUCUUUGCUUUCUUUGCAAUUUCCAUAUAUACAUGUGUGUAUAUCCACCGCUGUCGUUUGAUCUGCGUGUGCGCUUUACGCUGGUACGUGUGCGUUCCCCUUCAGCAUCUUCCUUUUCCCGCACCCUCCCCUCUCUCCUUCCUUUCUCGCCUGCCUCCCGCUUCUGCUGCCUGUAGAUUUGACUUCUUUUUUUUUUGUGUCGCUUCGCUUCUCGACUCGGUUGCGCAAAGUUCAGCAUCGUCCCUCCCCCCAACAGGGCGGAGUUGCCCUUCUCUUUUCUGGAUUUCAUUAUUGGGAGGGGAUGGGCGGCAGCUGCGGGCCUUGGCACUUUGAUCGUGUGCUCCCUUUUUUUUCAGAGGCUCGGCGGGCGUCGGCGCGCCCCCUCCAUUCCUGUGUUUCCGGCUCUCACCUCCCAUUCUACCCGCCCUCCUGUUCUUCCUUCUCCCCCUCCACCCGUGUUGGUGUACGUAUAAAACAAUAGGUGAAGAGGAAAGAGCAAAGAAAAACGAGCAGCCGCAUUUUUGUUUUCACACCUCCCGCUUCUUCUGUCUUCCCCUUCUCCCACUCUUGAGAUAUCUUCUUCAUUUCUCGGUGGCUUCUUUUCUCCUCUCUCCACGCAGCCGGCAUGCGCUGACCCCCUUGCUCUUUCCCCGCGUACACGCACGCAUAUGCACUCCCAAUGAAGAAGAUAGGACCCCGAGAACGGGGAGAGGGCGAGAAGGCACGGAGGACUAUCAAUGUGGACAAGACGGAGAGAACGAGCGUCACUGAGCGUUUCCCUAUGCACGGCGCUGAACUUCUUUCUCUUUUUGCGUGUAUUGUUCGGGUGGUGCUGCGACCUGCUUCUGUUUCUUUUUUCGCCUCUUCUAUUCGAUCACGUCUCGCCCUUCUUCAGCUUGCCGCCAGCUUUCACACAGCACACCAGGGGAGCUUGCGUGUCCCACGCCAAGAAAGGAGGAAGCUGUGAAAGAGACGGUCAGCUGCCCCCACUGCUUUUCUCUCACCUUCCCUCUUCUCUCCCAACACAACGAACCCAAAGCGACGGGCGGCGUGGCAUAUUUCUCUUCAAAGGCGUUUUACCUCUUUUAUACGCAGCGUCUCUCGAGAGAGCUCAAAGGAGAGAGGGGCACACACAACAGGAAAAAAACGCGAAUCAAAACAUCAACCAAACAGCCGACAACAGCAAGCGCACCCCCCCCAAAAAAAAAGGAAUGAUGAGAGGGAUCGAAAAAGGUGGAGCAGCGAUCAACAGUCAUCGUGGUGUGAUCGGGCCUUUUCACACAACGUUUUAUAGUACCUGUGCCGUGGUUUCUUUCUAUUGGAGCUGUCACAUUGAAUGCACAUCUGCAUCGUGGUUCGCCGUUCUUGAGUAUGCGUCCCUUCUUAUUACUUGUCUGUGCGUGGGUGGCUUCGGUCGCUCACACCCCUUUUUUAUUGUCGGACUUGUAUACAUUUCUUCACCGCCAAAAAAAAAAACAAACACAAAAAACGCGCACGCGCACGCAUUCCCCCUUGCUGUGAAGCGGGAGGAAAGGGUGAAAAAAAAACAAGAUUCCCAACGGCUAUGCGUGCCUUCUCCUGUCCCUUUUUGCUUCGUGAUUGUCUUCCUUUGUGUGUGUGUGUGUGUUUGCAUGUGUGUCUCCCCCCUCCCCCCUCCCCCACAUAACCGCGCCUUCGCUUCUUUCUCUCAUUUUGCCGAUUGCUCUCCUUUCCGUCUGCCAUCCUUUUCCUUCGAUUCCGGCCCCCUAGUUGAUCAUUGUCGAGGCCAAGAUGUGUGCUGCCGCGUGUUUUCCACCGCUCCUUGCACUGAUGUGUGUUGAACACGCACGUACGCACGCUUAACGUUCGAGAUAAGCUCUUGCAUACAGGCAUUUUUACACUAGCACUUGUUCUCUCCCCCAGCGCGCGCUUCGCUGUGAACCCUCCCCCUCCCCCAACCUCUCUUCCGUGCGCUGACCUCCUCUCCUUUCUCCUCCGCCCCUUCUUUUUCCCCGUCUCUGUUGUGUCGACGCCUGCGGAGCAGAAAAGAGUGAAGGGUGGGGCGGCGCUUUGUGAUUGGCAUCCUCUUGUUGGUUUCACUGCUGUGGUGGUGCUUGUCGUUGCCCUCCACCUCGCUCUCAUUUUGGCUGUUUUGGUCUUGUAUCGCUCUCUUCCUAACUCGCGGCUGUAGCACGGCUCUCUCUUUUCUCUCCCUCCCUUCCUCUUUGCGUGCGUGCGUGCGUGUGUGUGUGUGUGCCUUUUCCUCUGUGUAGGGUGUUUUUCUUUCUUCUGCGCUUCUUGUUUUUUUUUUUGUCUGCCGUCUCUAGACAUGUGUAUGCGUGCCAGUGCGUGUGGGUGCGCCGCCGGUCUGUGAGUACGUUGUUUUAGUUUCUACCGGGUUUAUCACGUCGUUUCAUCUCCAGCCACGCUACCUUUUUUUUCAUAUCUUUCUCUUUGGUACACCACAGCCUCCCCCUUCUCCCCUUAUUCCGCUACAGCGCACAAGGCUGUGCCACACUGGUGAGAGUUUCUGUUCCUCUUACGCCUCUAUCGUUUAGAGAACCCUUUGCGGGCAGAUGGUGGUGCGAGGGUGGGCGCUGAGGGAAAAAGAAGAGGAAGAUGGAGAGGUCCGAAAAAGAGAGCAAGGGGAGAGUUUCCACGUGCUCGAGUAGGCCUCUCUCUCCUCUCUCCUAAACUGACCGCGUGAGCAGCUGACCUCAAGGGGGGGGGGCUUCUCUUUUUCUCCCCCUCUCUCUGUAGAUGUUGUGCGUAGAUGUUCUUCGCCUCACUUGUCUCCUCCACCUCCAGCAUCGCCCCACUUACGCGCUUUUUUCACCGAAUAUGCGUCUUUGAUUGUGUGGUGCUGCGCUUCUGUUCGUGGUUUGUCUGCUUCUCUUCCACUGCACCUUCCCUCUGUUGUCGUCGUGUUGUCGGUGCGCCUCCUUUUUUCGCGAGACCCCCUUUCCCCCUUUGUCUCUAUGAUAAGAUGCGUACUGGACUCCUUUGAGCAUGGUGCGGCGAACCCCUUGGAUAUAUUGUGUCCGCGCGUCCCGUUUACAUAUACAGGCGUUUUUCUUUUUUUUUUUUCGCUUUUCCUUUGCCCCUCCUUUUCUUUUUAUGCAUUGAAUACACACCGCAAUCUAUUGGAAGUACAUCUCUUCUCCCCCUUCUCUUCCGUCUCUGUCUCUUUACUGUUUUCUUUUUUCGUCUUUCGUUUUCUUCUCCCUCUCUGGUGCAGCUCGUCUUCAUGCUUAUUUUUUCCCCCUUGUUUUCUUUUUCUGCCCUUUGGUCCUCUUUGUUUUAACUUCCGCCCCUCCCCCUCCUUCUCUCCUUUCCUAUCUUUCCGUUUGCUUUUCCCACGCCAUUUUUGUUCUGUGUCUGUACGCUGGCACCGGAGAGCACGCCAGGGUGAGAAAGAUAAAUGAACCGCUUUAUUUUUCGGUUCAACGCGUGUCCAUUUAACUGCCUUAGAAUAUGAGUCGAGCUCCACUCUGACUCCCCCCUUCCGGUCCCGUCACAGACUCCAUCGCGUGGUGCGAAGCAGCGCUAGACACAUGCCAGUACAGCAAUGCGCCCGGCUCAGCCGUCGGAGCGCGAGCCCUGCUUCACACUCUGCCCACCGACCCGCGCCCCGCAGGUCGCCUCACAGCCGCUCCCCCACUAUGCCGGGCGCCACCGGGUGCAUUCUCUCCUCAGGGGUGGGUGGGUGGCUCCCCACACCCGCGUACGCAGUGCGAGGGCCGGGGGUGGGAUUACACGCUCGAGCCACGCUGAUGCUUCGCCUACCAUAUGGGUGGCGCAAGCCUGUGCACUGCCGCAGGUCGCUCCGCCGCAGCGCCAUCCAGGGCCCGACCGCCGGCAUCAGUGGGGCGGUACAUCGCUCUGACCUCCCCACGUGGCAGGUGCUUCACCGCGCCACCACCAGAGGCGGCUCGGCAUUGGGCAGGGGGAGAGACGAAGGAGGGGCUGCGUGGCCUCCCCAGACAGAGUGGGGGCACUGGGCCCUGAGAUGCCACGCGCUGCGACAUCACCCCGCCCCCCCCCCUGUCAUCCGGGUGAAGGGUGAAUGUAUGGCAGGAAAGGGAAAAGAGAAGGCAGGGCAGUGAGCGAAUAGAUGCGUGCUCUCGCCGCUUCUUGUGAUCUCUCUUGUUCUGUUACCUCUCUUCUUCCGCAGCCACUGCCUCCUCUUCUUCCCCCUUGACACUCUCAUCGGGUCCCUCGCCCGUCCGUUCGCCCAUCGAAUGGCGGUCGUAUCUUACUUGUGCGUGUUUUUCUCUAGCGUCACCUGCCGACGUUGAGGCCCGCAGCUUCUGUUUUUUUUUUUGUUUUCUGCGCUUUAUAGUCCUCCCUUUUUUUUUUGUGCAUUGACUUCGUUCGUAGUGCGAACAUGAAACAUACGGCUUUCUCUUGUCGGCUUUUUUUUUGCCGUUGCGUUGACGUCUCUUUCCCUUUGCAUGUGUCGUGUCUCUCUCUCUCUCUUGCCAUAUCUUGUUGUUCCUCUUCCUCGUUGCUUUACCUUGCCACUCACACCUCUCUCUCUGUCGUUGUCGCAGCUGUCGGCGUAAUGUGUUCGUGUUGCUGUUAUUAUCAUGAAUUUUAUUAUUAUUUUUCGUUUCGCUGCCGGUUAUCUUCUUACAGUCUUCUCUCGCAUUGCUCGUGCGCACAUCUCCGCUUUUUUUUUGCCCCCCCCCCCCCUCUCUCUUUUCCUUACCAACCCCUACCCGUGCUCUCUCUCGCUUACAAUCCCGUGCUGCUCUCUUUGUGCAUACGGACACCACAAAAAAGCAAGCAACCGCAACUACUUAGAGCGCUUCCACGCGGUGGCGAGCACUCACCUGCCCCUUUCUGGCACCCUCCGCAUCGCCUUUGCGCACGUGUUCUGGUGGGCGGUGUCGGGGGUCGUGGUGGCGGUGGUGACGCCCACGUGCGGAGCAGCCAAUGAAGCAAAGAGAGACACUGAAAUAAAAGCGUGAAACGACGCAAACAAAAAAGGAUGUCACUCAUUCAUAGUCAAGUGUAGUGAGGGAGGCGACAGAGCUGGGAGGCGUUUCCCAAGGAUGUGCGAGAGUAGAGGGCGACGUCCCCUUACCCUCCCCCCGGUUUUCUUCCCCUUUCCACAAAAGGAAAAGCGUACGCGCAGACACGCACGCACAAACAGCGCACGCAGUGUGGCGCCAAUUCCUCACCGCGUCGGCCGAAGUACACAGAUGUCGACGGACGUCGGUUGCUCACGUCUCUAAAGUCAUCGAUGCACAUUUUUGUUUUGUUGGCUCGCGUGUCCGCGUCUUCCUUUCUAUUUCUGUAUGUGGUGCUCUUUAGCGGGCUUGUGCCUCUAUCCUGUGCUCUCUUCCUCUCAGUUGUGUGCGUGCGUGUCGUCUUUUGGGUUUUUGCUCCCCUCUUCUGUUUAUGUCUUCGUCGCCUCUUGCUCUGCGUGUUCCCUUUCGUUUUUUUUUUUCGUUUCUCUGCAUCUUUGCUUCACCGCCAACUCGCCGUCUGAACAUGUAUUCGUAUCCCUCACUCCUUACCUGCAAUCGCCACUCAUAAACAUGUAAACGGAAGCAGAGAAUUGAACG